UACGGAGGGUGCAAGCGUUGUUUGGAAUUAUUGGGCGUAAAGGGCAGGUAGGUGGUCUUGCAAGUCUACUGUGAAAUCCCUGGGCUUAACCCAGGAAGUGCGGUGGAUACUGCAAGACUAGAGUGCCGGAGGGGUGCGUGGAAUUCCCGGUAUAGCGGUGAAAUGCGUAGAUAUCGGGAGGAACACCAGAGGCGAAAGCGG
rnacentral:rRNA from 1 species